rnacentral:rRNA from 1 species
UACGUAGGUGGCGAGCGUUGUCCGGAUUUACUGGGCGUAAAGAGCGCGCAGGCGGCUGGUCAAGUCCGAUGUGAAAUCCCUCGGCUUAACCGGGGAACUGCGUCUGAUACUGGAUGGCUAGAGAUUGGGAGAGGGAUGCGGAAUUCCAGGUGUAGCGGUGAAAUGCGUAGAUAUCUGGAGGAACACCGGUGGCGAAGGCGGCAUCCUGGACCAACACUGACGCUGAGGAGCGAAAGCCAGGGGAGCAAACGGG